GGCACAGACCAGGGGGUGGCGACUGUUUACUAAAAACACAGGGCUCUGCUAAGUCGCAAGACGACGUAUAGGGUCUGACGCCUGCCCGGUGCCUGAAGGUUAAGGGGAGCGGUGAGAGCUGCGAACCGAAGCCCAGGUAAACGGCGGCCGUAACUAUAACGGUCCUAAGGUAGCGAAAUUCCUUGUCGGGUAAGUUCCGACCUGCACGAAUGGCGUAACGACUUCCCCACUGUCUCCAACGUAGACUCAGCGAAAUUGAAUUGCCCGUGAAGAUGCGGGCUCCCUGCGGUCAGACGGAAAGACCCCGUGCACCUUUACUACAGCUUUGCAGUGGUAUUAUGGGUUACAUGUGUAGGAUAGGCGGGAGACGUCGAACCAAUGCCGCCAGGUGUUGGGGAGUCACCCUUGAAAUACCGCCCUUGUGAUCUGUGAUAUCUAACCCGAACUCGGGGACCCUGCAUGGUGGGUAGUUUGACUGGGGCGGUCGCCUCCUAAAGAGUAACGGAGGCGCGCGAUGGUGGGCUCAGGUUGGUCGGAAAUCAACCGUCGAGUGUAAUGGCAUAAGCCCGCCUGACUGCGAGACUGACACGUCGAGCAGAGACGAAAGUCGGCCAUAGUGAUCCGGUGGUCCCGAGUGGAAGGGCCAUCGCUCAACGGAUAAAAGGUACGCCGGGGAUAACAGGCUGAUCUCCCCCAAGAGUCCACAUCGACGGGGAGGUUUGGCACCUCGAUGUCGGCUCAUCGCAUCCUGGGGCUGGAGCAGGUCCCAAGGGUUUGGCUGUUCGCCAAUUAAAGCGGUACGUGAGCUGGGUUUAGAACGUCGUGAGACAGUUCGGUCCCUAUCUGCCGUGGGUGUACGAGACUUGAGAGGAUUUGCCCCUAGUACGAGAGGACCGGGGUGAACGUACCUCUGGUGUACCGGUUGUUGCGCCAGCAGCACCGCCGGGUAGCUAAGUACGGACGGGAUAACCGCUGAAAGCAUCUAAGCGGGAAA
rnacentral:rRNA from 1 species